UCCACGGCGACGUGGAAUCUGAAGGAAGCCGGCGGCAAACCUCUGACAGGAACCUCAUCAGGCGGUCCCUGCUUGGAUGAGUCUGCAUCACAAGACAAAGUCCUUGCUGCCAACUUCUCCAAUACCUGAUUGCGGAUUUGAUCUUCCUUCGGCGGGAUCUCCACAUAC
rnacentral:misc_RNA from 1 species